AGAGCCUGGGCCUGGGCCUGGGCCUAGGCCUAGAGCCUGGGCCUAGAGCCUGGGCCUAGAGCCUGGGCCUAGGCCUAGAGCCUGGGUCUAGAGCUUGGGGCUAGAGCCUAGGCCUAGAGCC